UACGAAGGUGGCUAGCGUUGUUCGGAUUUAUUGGGCGUAAAGGGUCCGCAGGCGGUUUGGAAAGUCAGGUGUGAAAUCCCACAGCUCAACUGUGGACACGCAUUUGAAACUUCCAGACUAGAGUAUGAGAGGGGUAAAAGGAAUUUCCAGUGUAGGGGUGAAAUCCGUAGAUAUUGGAAAGAACACCGGCCGCGAAGGCGUUUUACUGGCUCAUUACUGACGCUCAGGGACGAAAGCCAGGGGAGCAAACGGG
rnacentral:rRNA from 1 species